rnacentral:tRNA from 1 species
UGACUCCGUAGCUCAGCUGGUAGAGCAGCUGACUCUUAAUCAGCGGGUCGAGAGUUCGAGUCUCUCCGGGUCAC